GACGAACGCUGGCGGCGUGCUUAACACAUGCAAGUCGAACGGAAAGGCCCUGCUUUUGUGGGGUGCUCGAGUGGCGAACGGGUGAGUAACACGUGAGUAACCUGCCCUUGACUUUGUGAUAACUUCAGGAAACUGGGGCUAAAACCGGAUAGGAGCUCCUGCUGCACGGUGGGGGUUGGAAAGUUUCGGCGGUUGGGGAUGGACUCGCGGCUUAUCAGCUUCUUGGUGUGGUAGUGGAUUACCAAGGUUUUGACGGGUAGCCGGCCUGAGAGGGUGACCGGCCACAUUGGGACUAAGAUACGGCGCAGACUGGUACGGGAGGCAGCAGUGGGGAAUAUGGCACAAUGGGCGGAAGCCUGAUACGGCAACGCCGCGUGCGGGAUGACGGCCUUCGGGUUGUAAACCGCUUUCGACUGUGACGAGGCGUGAGUGACGGUAAUGGGUAAAGAAGCACCGGCUAACUACGUG
rnacentral:rRNA from 1 species